rnacentral:rRNA from 1 species
GAGUUUGAUCCUGGCUCAGGAUGAACGCUAGCGGCAGGCCUAACACAUGCAAGUCGAGGGGCAGCGAGUCUAGCUUGCUAGAUGUCGGCGACCGGCGCACGGGUGCGCACCGCGUAUGGAACCUACCUUGUACAGGGGAAUAGCCCAGGGAAACUUGGAUUAAUGCCCCGUGGUACUGUUGAUCGGCAUCGAUCGGCAGUUAAAGCCUUCGGGCGGUACAAGAUGGCCAUGCGUCCCAUUAGCUUGUUGGUAAGGUAACGGCUUACCAAGGCUACGAUGGGUAGGGGCCCUGAGAGGGGGAUCCCCCACACUGGUACUGAGACACGGACCAGACUCCUACGGGAGGCAGCAGUGAGGAAUAUUGGACAAUGGAGGAGACUCUGAUCCAGCCAUGCCGCGUGCAGGAAGAAUGCCCUAUGGGUAGUAAACUGCUUUUAUACGGGAAGAAAAAGAGCUACGUGUAGCUUACUGACGGUA